CAAUAGCGUAUAUUAAAGUUGUUGCAGUUAAAAAGCUCGUAGUUGGAUUUCUGGUGGGAGCGAUCGGUCUGGCGCUUAGCGCGAGUACUUGCAUCGUCUCCGGCCAUCCUUGGGGAGAGUCUGUCUGGCAUUAGGUUGUCGGGCAGAGGAUCCUCAUCGUUUACUGUGAAAAAAUUAGAGUGUUCAAAGCAGGCUUAUGCCGUUGAAUAUAUCAGCAUGGAAUAAUAAGAUAGGACUUUGGUACUAUUUUGUUGGUUUGCGCACCAAAGUAAUGAUUAAUAGGGACAGUUGGGGGUAUUCGUAUUCCGUUGUCAGAGGUGAAAUUCUUGGAUUUACGGAAGACGAACUACUGCGAAAGCAUUUACCAAGGAUGCUUNCAUUA
rnacentral:rRNA from 1 species